rnacentral:rRNA from 1 species
AUGGAGCCCUUGGAGGCUAGCCCAGCCGUCACCACCACCAUUGACUCCCUUAAGGACGACAACAUCGAGGACAUCCUGCUGCGCCUCCCGUCGCCGGCCUCCCUCGCUCGAGCCGCGCUCGCCUCACGCCGCUGGCGCGGCAUCGCCUCAAGCUCCCCCUUCCUCCGCCGCUUCCGCGAGCUCCACCCCCGGUCACCCAUCCUCGGCUUCUUCGCCUCCCAGCCGGACCUCCAGCAGCUCCCCAUCUUCCACCCCGCGGCCGCCGUCCGCUCCGACCCGGACCUCGCAGCCGCCGCGCGCGGGGGCGACUUCCUGCUCACCCGCCUCGAGGACGACCCGGCGUGGCGCUCCCGGGACUGCCGCAACGGCCGCCUCCUCCUCUCCCGAGGCGGCGACUCCCUCUCCCUCUACGACCCCGUCUCCCACCGGCACGUCUCCGUGCCCCGUCCACGGAGCGACGAACCACUCCUCCCUGUACCGCCUGGAGCAGCAGAGUACAUAUGGGACUGCUUGCUGGACGGCCAUGGAGAAUUCCGCGUGGUCACCGUGCAGCGAGACGGCCAAAGGUUGCGCGCCAUGGAGUACGCCUCCCGCACCGCCGAGUGGCGCAUCCACCCGUGGGCGGACGGCAUCCGCAUGCCUGCACAAGUGUGUCUACUCAAGAAGAACGACGGCGCCGGCGGCGGGCAUGCGUGUGAGUUGGAGAAGCAAAGCCAUAUAGGCUGGCUGGACAGCUUCAACCGGCGGUUCGGCGUCCAUAUGGUGGCUGCUGGAAUAGCAAUUGUUUACUGCAUGAGUUGCAAGUAUUUUCACUUUGUCUUUGAUCUCAAGGACCUGAGCCUCAAGGAUAAGUUCCGUUGUCAUCGAACCAUGGCGUACCCUUUCCAAAUGCCAUGGCCACCUGCUGCGUUGGCGCCUACUUCUCCGUGCGAGCGACCCACCACGCCCCAAACAUAUGCUUGCCAAGAUGCUGAGAAUCGACACGAAGCACCUUCUUCUAGUAGGAAGCGCAAGAGCAAUGAUGAAAUGGAGCCAUGUAUUUUUGUAGCUUCUUUGAAGAAUGAAUUCAUCAGAUAA